GAUGUGGUGGCUCAAUGGUAGAGCUUUCGACUCCAGCAAUUCUUGUUGUAAUCGAAGGGUUGCAGGUUCAAUUCCUGUCCAUGUCA
rnacentral:tRNA from 2 species